GUAGGUGGCUAGCGUUGUCCGGAUUUACUGGGCGUAAAGCGCGCGCAGGCGGUCGUUCAAGUCGAGUGUGAAAGCCCCCGGCUCAACUGGGGAGGGUCACUCGAUACUGAUCGACUUGAAGGCAGAAGAGGGAAGCGGAAUUCCCGGUGUAGUGGUGAAAUGCGUAGAUAUCGGGAGGAACACCAGUGGCGAAGGCGGCUUUCUGGUCUGUUCUUGACGCUGAGGCGCGAAAGCUAGGGUAGCAAACGGGAUUAGAUACCCCGGUAGUCCUAGCCGUAAACGAUGGACACUAGGUGUUGGCGGUAUCAACCCCGCCAGUGCCGAAGCUAACGCAUUAAGUGUCCCGCCUGGGGAGUACGGUCGCAAGGCUG
rnacentral:rRNA from 1 species